GAUGAACGCUGGCGGCGUGCUCAACACAUGCAAGUCGAACGGGAAACAUUUUAUUGAAGCUUCAGCAGAUUUAGCUUGUUUCUAGUGGCGGACGGGUGAGUAACGCGUGGGUAACCUGCCUUAUACUGGGGGAUAACAGCCAGAAAUGGCUGCUAAUACCGCAUAAGCGCACAGAACCGCAUGGUUCGGUGUGAAAAACUCCGGUGGUAUAAGAUGGACCCGCGUUGGAUUAGCUAGUUGGCAGGGCAGCGGCCUACCAAGGCGACGAUCCAUAGCCGGCCUGAGAGGGUGAACGGCCACAUUGGGACUGAGACACGGCCCAGACUCCUACGGGAGGCAGCAGUGGGGAAUAUUGCACAAUGGGGGAAACCCUGAUGCAGCGACGCCGCGUGAAGGAAGAAGUAUCUCGGUAUGUAAACUUCUAUCAGCAGGGAAGAUAAU
rnacentral:rRNA from 1 species